UCGGCAAUGGACGGAAGUCUGACCGAGCAACGCCGCGUGAGUGAAGAAGGUUUUCGGAUCGUAAAGCUCUGUUGUAAGAGAAGAACGAGUGUGAGAGUGGAAAGUUCACACUGUGACGGUAUCUUACCAGAAAGGGACGGCUAACUACGUGCCAGCAGCCGCGGUAAUACGUAGGUCCCGAGCGUUGUCCGGAUUUAUUGGGCGUAAAGCGAGCGCAGGCGGUUAGAUAAGUCUGAAGUUAAAGGCUGUGGCUUAACCAUAGUACGCUUUGGAAACUGUUUAACUUGAGUGCAAGAGGGGAGAGUGGAAUUCCAUGUGUAGCGGUGAAAUGCGUAGAUAUAUGGAGGAACACCGGUGGCGAAAGCGGCUCUCUGGCUCGUAACUGACGCUGAGGCUCGAAAGCGUGGGGAGCAAACAGGAUUAGAUACCCUGGUAGUCCACGCCGUAAACGAUGAGUGCUAGGUGUUAGACCCUUUCCGGGGUUUAGUGCCGCAGCUAACGCAUUAAGCACUCCGCCUGGGGAGUACGACCGCAAGGUUGAAACUCAAAGGAAUUGACGGGGGCCCGCACAAGCGGUGGAGCAUGUGGUUUAAUUC
rnacentral:rRNA from 1 species